rnacentral:rRNA from 1 species
UACAGAGGUCCCAAGCGUCGUUCGGAUUCACUGGGCGUAAAGGGUGCGUAGGUGGCGAAGUAAGUUGGAUGUGAAAGCUCCGAGCUUAACUCGGAAAUGGCAUUCAAAACUACUUUGCUAGAGGGUUGGAAGGGGGACUGGAAUUCUCGGUGUAGCAGUGAAAUGCGUAGAUAUCGAGAGGAACACCAGUGGCGAAGGCGAGUCCCCUGGACAAACUCCUGACACUGAGGCACGAAAGCUAGGGGAGCAAACAGG